CAAGGCAGUUCCCCUUAUAUAGCCACAAAUAGCUCCCCUCUCCGCAGAAACAGGAAACCUUGAAUCUUCUGGGCAGAAUAGCUUAAAAAUACAACCCCUUCCCCCGCAAACUCCUCCUCCGGGGAACAACAGCCUGCCCUUCUGUCCAGACACCUCUCACAUGCAGAUAUUUGCCCUCCAUCGCUCCCCCCUUCCAAAUAAACAAAGACGUUUCUUACCCGAUGAACAACAGCAGAGGAUAUUGCAGCAUGGACGCCCCUUCCUGUGCUGCAAUCCACUGACAACACCCUUGGCACUCAGCCUGUUGGGGCCCUCUUCUGGCUGUAUCUAGCUAUCCCGACACUUCCGCAGUUUAGCUCUAAUCAUGGAUUUUUAUGUGGUGAGAGACCAUCAGAUACAGAAAACAUCCUAGUCCCCCAGAGGGAUCCACCCCUCUAAUAGGAAGGUGUAUGAGAAGGCUGUGAAUGGUUUGGAGAGGGAGGCUCUGUCCAUGAUGUCUCUGGAGACUGGAAGGAUGGUCUGGGAAUUGAUGUGUUUAGGAUUUCUGUUCUAAGCGUAUAUGGCUAUAGUUACCUUUACCAUCUUUAUCUUGGGUGCAGCUCCUCCUUCCAAAGAAGUCAGAGAUGCCAGCUGAAAAAUUUAAGAUCUGUUGUAUCUCCCCUUGAACAUAGGGAAACAGGAUCUUCAGGGAUGACCCAUGCUGAAAAGGUUUUUCUUCCAAAAAAGUCAGAGAUGCCAGCUGAAAAAUUUCACAUCUGUUGUAUCUCCCCUUGAACAUGGGGAAACAGUGUCAUGGCCAUCAUAGAGGACAUUCCAGUUUUCUGUUACCCUGUCAUCUGUCCUCUAUUGAUAUGAAACUCAACACCUUUAUGCUACACGGCCCUAGACUCACCUUUACCUCCCCAUGCUGCAUACCUCACUGUCCCACUCCCUGGGGAUAGGGCAGGAAGUGGCAGCCAGAGGAGCCCCCAGCUGCUAUUGCAGACAGAGCAACAGUGGGAGCAGCAGCUGAGCAGGUCCCCAGGAUCUGCAACUUAACCCCUACAACUUGGACAUCUUGCAUUAAAGUCUGCUAGUUCCCGGUGUUCAGCAUGUGACCAGUCCAGUCCUUUUCUCUUGAAGAGAAAAAUAGAGGACAUAAAGGCAUCCGGUUUUGUAGCAAUAGAGGACAGAGGACAACUGGAUUGUCCUCUGUGAUGGCCACCCUAGGGAUCUUCAGGGAUGACCGACACUGAAAAGUUUCAGGCUGUUUCCAGUAGAGGUGCAUCGAUACAUCAGUCUGAUAUCGGAUUGGCACCAAUAUAAAGAAAAUUGACUAUAUCGGAAAUUGGCAUUAUGUGGCCGAUAAUUUGGCCAAUAAAUGCCUGUGCAUGUGCACAGCCACAGUGUAGUAUGCAGGCAGCAAGGAGCGUAGCCUGGCAGCAUGAAGAGCUGCAUGCAGCUGCAAAAAGCUAUUGGUCACAAGGCUGGAUGAUGUAUUAAAAGUAACUAACUUUGCAAAUGCUUAGGCAAGCGGUUUUCUAAACAAAGUAGUGUUAGAGCCCAUUGUGUAAGAAGAACAAGAUGCAGGCCAUCAGCUAUCGUCAGGAGAUAAGAUGGAAGCCAAACCUUGGAGAUGGUGCUGAAAUCAGCAAAGAACAAGAAAGAACCAGCAAGUGACCGAGAGUACCCGAGUUCAUGGUCUUAGGCGCGCGCUCUUAGCAGAGAGGCAUGUAAAUGAAGGAAAUGCAUCGGCAAUUCCAUGUUAAUGAAGUAAACAAUAAACAAAGGUAAACAAUAAACAAAGGUGGAACUUGAGAUGGGAGGAGAAAUGGGUAGAACCAGAGGUGGAACAAGGGUGGAGUAAAUAUUAAUAUGUAUGAACCAAGGUGUAUAAAUGUUGGAAAAAACUGUUGUUUAGGACUGCUGCCCAUCGUUUAUGGCGAGAGCUCACCCAAAGCUGCCUCCAUUCUGAAUAAAAGCUGUUGCGAGCAA